UGGGGAAUUUUGGACAAUGGGCGCAAGCCUGAUCCAGCCAUGCCGCGUGCGGGAAGAAGGCCUUCGGGUUGUAAACCGCUUUUGUCAGGGAAGAAAUCUUCUGAGUUAAUACCUCGGGAGGAUGACGGUACCUGAAGAAUAAGCACCGGCUAACUACGUGCCAGCAGCCGCGGUAAUACGUAGGGUGCAAGCGUUAAUCGGAAUUACUGGGCGUAAAGCGUGGGCAGGCGGUCUUGUAAGACAGAGGUGAAAUCCCCGGGCUCAACCUGGGAACUGCCUUUGUGACUGCAAGGCUUGAGUGCAGCAGAGGGGGAUGGAAUUCCGCGUGUAGCAGUGAAAUGCGUAGAUAUGCGGAGGAACACCGAUGGCGAAGGCAAUCCCCUGGGCCUGCACUGACGCUCAUGCACGAAAGCGUGGGGAGCAAACAGGAUUAGAUAGCCCUGGUAGUCCACGCCCUAAACGAUGUCAACUGGUUGUUGGGAAGGUUCCUUCUCAGUAACGUAGCUAACGCGUGAAGUUGACCGCCUGGGGAGUACGGCCGCAAGGUU
rnacentral:rRNA from 1 species